GGGGAAAAGCGAAAACGACAGGCGAGACAGCAAAUCGAGACGCGGGCCACGAUCCGUCGGCCCAAUGGGCGCCGCGGAGGGCCCGGCUUAGUGGAGGAAGUGGUCGGGGCGGACACGGGCGUUGUCCUUGGCUGGCGAGAGUGUGGGGGCGCUGGUCUCUGGCCCUGGUGGCGCCACUACUGUCUUCGGAAAGAUUAUCGGAAGUCACUUGCUGAUGUGACAUGAACCGAUGAAGAGAUCGCUUCACAAGGAGAGUGCGAUGAUGAUCCAGGCAGGGCUGGUGUUUGUGCUGAACAAUGGAGUGUGCUGCCUCUUCUGUCCUGAGCACCCAUCUUGAUGGAAUGGAGCCCAAGUCACAGCCUGUUUUUAAACAUCUGGAGGGAUGGAGGAAGCCCAUGAAAUGGGAAAUAAAUAUUUAUUCUUUGAAAGGACUGGGGACAGUAGUUAAUGAAAAUGUAUGCAUCUAUAUGUUAGGCAUAUAUAUAGUUUUAGCAUGGAGUUUAAGUUGUAAGUAUUGGUAAGAAACAAUUUCAGUCAUGACAAAUAAAUUCAAUGGAAUAAUGAGAA